GAUGAACGCUGGCGGCGUGCCUAAUACAUGCAAGUCGAGCGAACAGAUGAGGAGCUUGCUCCUCUGACGUUAGCGGCGGACGGGUGAGUAACACGUGGAUAACCUACCUAUAAGACUGGGAUAACUUCGGGAAACCGGAGCUAAUACCGGAUAAUAUAUUGAGCCGCAUGGUUCAAUAGUGAAAGACGGUUUUGUUGUCACUUAUAGAUGGAUCCGCGCCGCAUUAGCUAGUUGGUAAGGUAACGGCUUACCAAGGCAACGAUGCGUAGCCGACCUGAGAGGGUGAUCGGCCACACUGGAACUGAGACACGGUCCAGACUCCUACGGGAGGCAGCAGUAGGGAAUCUUCCGCAAUGGGCGAAAGCCUGACGGAGCAACGCCGCGUGAGUGAUGAAGGUCUUCGGAUCGUAAAACUCUGUUAUUAGGGAAGAACAAAUGUGUAAGUAACUAUGCACGUCUUGACGGUACCUAAUCAGAAAGCCACGGCUAACUACGUG
rnacentral:rRNA from 1 species